UACGGGGGGGGCAAGCGUUGUUCGGAAUUACUGGGCGUAAAGGGCUCGUAGGUGGCCAACUAAGUCAGACGUGAAAUCCCUCGGCUUAACCGGGGAACUGCGUCUGAUACUGGAUGGCUUGAGAUUGGGAGAGGGAUGCGGAAUUCCAGGUGUAGCGGUGAAAUGCGUAGAUAUCAGGAGGGACACCGGUGGCGAAGGCGCACAUCUGGCCCGAUACUGACGCUGAGGCGCGAAAGCGUGGGGAGCGAACCGG
rnacentral:rRNA from 1 species